ACUUCCUAAUUAAUAGAAACUUAAGAGUUCCUAAUUUCACAACGAAAAAUUAAAUUAAAAUAAUUCAGAAAUACCAUCUUCCUAUAUUGCAUCAGGAAUCUGUUACAUGUGUUCUAUCAAUUCACUCUAUUCUUCCCCUGUUAUGUUAUAUACAGAUGUUAUAUUAUAUGUACGCAGUUUUUCCCUGUUAUUACUUGUUAAAUAUACAGUUGUAUCAUAUGUGAGCUUGUUGAUGGAAAGAGAAAAAUUUUGUGUUUAUUUGAUGAAAUGGAUGAACAUGAAAUGGAUGAACUAAGUUGGAAGAGAAAUACCAACAGAAGUAAAGAAUAAGGGAGGGAGGGUAUUCAUAUGUGUAGGUGAUGGUAAUUCAAGUAUUAUCAUAAACUUAAGAAUUUGGACAUCAUGAUUCCUUGUUUAGAGCUUGGAUCAAGAGAAUGAGAAGGGAGGAAGCAGGAGGCUGUAAAACACAGUAGAAUGCAUUAGUUUCUUUUUCGUUCUUUUAUUUUUGGUUCUUUGUUAAGCAGGGCAUUGAUCAUUUGAAUCCAAACAUUUCUUGGACAGAUGCUUAAAUCAUAAGGUACCCGUGAGCUUCUCACAACCAUCAGAAAUUAUACAAAUCUGCAUGUGGAAUAUAGAUCAAAACUUUUGAUUGCAUGUUGUUAGGUGCAUGUGCUCGUCUGUGUUUGUGUGUGUGUGUGUGUG
rnacentral:misc_RNA from 1 species